rnacentral:rRNA from 1 species
GACGAACGCUGGCGGCGUGCUUAACACAUGCAAGUCGAACGAUGAAGCCGGAGCUUGCUCCGGUGGAUUAGUGGCGAACGGGUGAGUAACACGUGAGCAAUCUGCCCUUGACUCUGGGAUAACUGCGGGAAACUGUAGCUAAUACCGGAUACGACACCUUGGGGCAUCCCAGGGUGUGGAAAGAAUUUCGGUCAAGGAUGAGCUCGCGGCCUAGCAGGUAGUUGGUGAGGUAAUGGCUCACCAAGGCGACGACGGGUAGCCGGCCUGAGAGGGUGACCGGCCACACUGGAACUGAGACACGGUCCAGACUCCUACGGGAGGCAGCAGUGGGGAAUAUUGCACAAUGGGCGAAAGCCUGAUGCAGCAACGCCGCGUGAGGGAUGAAGGCCUUCGGGUUGUAAACCUCUUUUAGCAGGGAAGAAGCGAAAGUGACGGUACCUGCAGAAAAAGCACCGGCUAACUACGUGCCAGCAGCCGCGGUAA